rnacentral:lncRNA from 1 species
GAUUUUGACCCUCAAUUAAGUCUUUCGGAUCCAAAUAAUGAGACUUUCCAAAAAAAAUCCUAGCAAUUUAAAUGAUUGAUUUCGUAUAUAUAUGUAGUUAUUACUAAAUAUAUAUCUACUUAACAUUUUUGAAUUAUAUUUUUGCUCUCUAAUCGGGUCGUUUUUUUUUUAUGAUUUUGAUCCGGAAAUCUUCAAUCGGGUCUUUCCUUAAAUUUUGGCAAAAUUCAAAAACGAAAUUAAUUAAUAAAAUCUAAAAUAUAUAUAUUUCUCAACUAAUUAUUAUAUCUAAACUCUUAAUUUAUGGUAUAUUCUUUACGAUUUUUAUAGAUAAGGAAAUCAAAUAUGAUGAUUUAAUGCUAAUAUAACAAAUUUGAGCGAAUUUCCUAAAAUCUCUCUAAUUAAUUUAAACAUAAAUAUAUGAUUCUCAUUUCACUUUUAUUUGAUGUUAUAUUUAAAUUAUUUUGAAUUAUUAUAAUAUAUACAUAUAGUAAAUUUUAGUUUUUUUUGCAUAUGUUAUGAUUCAAAUUAUUUUUAAACGGACAUAUAUUACUCAGUUGAUGAAGAAAAAAAGUAUGUGUGCAAUUUAUAUUAUCAUUUUUGAAAAACAAAUUGCGUAAUUAAUUAGGUCAUUUUUUUUAUUCUGACCCGAAAUUGAGUCAUUCGGAUCUUUUCUUAAUUUCUACAAUUAUCUAAAACGGGAGAGUAUACCACGGGUGAAAUCCUAAAAUUAACAAAUCAAAAUAACAAUUGUAAAUUAUUUUUACGGGUUGGUCCAAAAACACAUAAUUUUUAAUAUAUAUAUAUAUAUAUAUAUAUAUAUAUAUAUAUAUUAUGAAAACCAUUUGAAAGCAAACUUUUAAAUUGAUUCGAAUUAUAUGUCUUUUAAAAAAAAGUGUUAUUAAAAAAAUAACAAAAUGAUGUUUAAUUUAACAGAACGGAAUUAUAUGGUAGGAUGGGUUUGGGUCGAUAUUAAUAUGGGAAAAUAUACUACGGGUGAAAUCCUAGAAUUAACAAAUCAAAAUACAAUUAUACAAUCUUAAACACUAAACAAAAUAAAUACAACUUAAAAUUUUUAUUUUUUAGAUACAACGCAUAUGAUCCGCGAUACAACAGGAAAUAUUAUACACAACAAAUUCAUUAGUUUAUAAAAAGAAUAAAAAAAAUCAAAUAAUUAACCUGCGGUGUACCGCGGGUCAUAUCCUAGUAUAUUACUAUUACUAUUAGACGUGACCAACAAAAAAUUGGUUUGUUAUAUAAUUACAAAAAAGCCCAUUCGAAAUAGAAAUAUUGCAAUAUGCUAAUAAUGUUGCGACGAGCCUGUCGUCGUCUCUUGAAACCCAAAUCUGUUGUUACUCUACGAACAAUCGCAUCUUCUUCUUCCUCAAGCUACGUCGAUCGUCAUAUUAGUGUGAUUCUCUGCGAUCAGAGCUUGAGCUUAGAGUCUCUGCGUAAACACAACGCUCUUAUCAUCACCGGAGGAAACUCGGAAAAUAUCUUCGUCGCAUCGAAGCUAAUUUCAUCUUACGCUUCUUACGGGAAACCCAAUUUGUCUUCCAGAGUCUUCGAUUUGGUUACUCGAAGAGAUGUCUUUCUUUGGAAUUCUAUUAUCAAAGCACAUUUCUCCAAUGGCGAUUAUGCUCGAUCCUUGGGUUUCUUCUUCUCAAUGCUCUUGUCUGGCCAAUCCCCUGAUCAUUUCACUGCUCCAAUGGUUGUUUCUGCUUGUGCGGAGCUUUUGUGGUUUGAUGUUGGGAGUUUCGUUCAUGGGUUUGUGUUGAAACAUGGAGGUUUUGAACGAAACACUGCAGUGGGAGCUUCCUUUGUUUAUUUCUAUUCAAAGUGUGGGUUUUUACAAGAUGCGUGUCUUGUGUUCGACGAAAUGCCUGAGAGAGAUGUUGUUGCUUGGACUGCCAUUAUAUCUGGGCAUGUGCAGAACCGAGAGAGCGAGAGAGCUUUGGGUUAUCUUUGCAAGAUGCAUACUGUUGGUUCUGAUGUUGAUAAGCCGAAUCCCAGAACAUUGGAAUGCGGAUUCCAAGCUUGUUCAAAUUUGGGAGCUUUGAAAGAAGGAAGAUGUCUUCAUGGUUUUGCGGUGAAAAAUGGUUUAGCUUCUUCCAACGUUGUCCAGUCUUCGAUCUUUUCAUUGUAUUCGAAAUCUGGGAAUCCAGCUGAGGCUUAUCUUUCUUUCCGUGAACUUGGGGAUCAAGAUAUGUUUUCAUGGACUUCGAUUAUAGCGUCACUGGUGAGAUCAGGUAACGUGGAGGAAAGUUUUGAUAUGUUCUGGGAAAUGCAGAACAAGGGAAUGCAGCCAGAUGGAAUUGUCAUUAGUUGUUUGAUUAGUGAACUAGGUAAGAAGAUGCUUGUCCCUGAAGGUAAAGCCUUUCACGGGUUCGUCAUAAGACACUGUUUCUCCUUAGACAGUACAGUUUGCAAUUCGUUGUUAUCGAUGUACUGCAAAUUCGAGUUUCUGUCUGUGGCUGAGAAGCUUUUCUGUAAGAUAAGCGAAGAAGGAAACACAGAAGCUUGGAAUACAAUGCUUAAAGGCUAUGGUAAAAUGAAAUCUCACGUAAAGUGUAUCGAGUUAUUUAGAAAGAUUCAGAAUCUUGGAAUUGAAAUCGACUCUGCCAGCGCAGCCUCUGUCAUAUCUUCUUGUUCCCACAUAGGAGCGGUGCUACUGGGGAAGUCGUUGCAUUGCUAUGUUGUCAAAACUAGCUUGGAUCUUACCAUCUCAGUGGUCAAUUCCCUCAUUGAUUUGUAUGGAAAGAUGGGAGACUUGACUGUUGCUUGGAGGAUGUUCUGUGAAGCAGAUACGAACAUUGUCACGUGGAACGCAAUGAUUGCGUCUUAUGUUUAUUGUGAGCAACCCGACAAAGCCAUUGCGUUGUUCGAUAGAAUGGUUUCUGAGAAUUUCAAACCCAGCUCAAUAACUUUGGUGACUCUGCUUAUGGCUUGCGCCAAUACUGGCUCUCUGGAGAGAGGACAGAUGAUUCAUCGGUACAUCAUUGAAACAGAGCACGAGAUGAAUCUUUCUCUUUCAACUGCUCUGAUUGACAUGUACGCAAAAUGUGGCCACCUUGAAAAGUCACGAGAACUGUUUGAUGCUGCAAGUCAGAAGGAUGCCGUUUGUUGGAAUGUGAUGAUCUCAGGUUAUGGAAUGCACGGACAUGUUGAAUCGGCCAUAGCACUUUUUGAUCAAAUGGAAGAGUCUGAUGUUAAACCAACCGGACCUACAUUUCUUGCCCUUCUAUCAGCUUGCACGCACGCUGGUUUAGUUGAACACGGGAAAAACCUUUUUCUCAAGAUGCAUCAGUACGAUGUGAAACCCAACUUAAAGCAUUACUCUUGUCUUGUGGAUCUUCUUUCCCGGUCUGGUAAUUUGCAGGAAGCUGAAACCACAGUCAUGUCGAUGCCAUUCUCACCAGACGGGGUCAUAUGGGGAACAUUGUUGAGCUCAUGCAUGACCCAUGGGGAGUUUGAGAUGGGAAUUCGAAUGGCAGACCGUGCAGUUGCUAGUGAUCCGCAGAACGAUGGGUAUUAUAUAAUGCUUGCGAACAUGUACAGUGCUGCAGGUAAGUGGGAACAAGCGGAAAGGGCACGAGAGAUGAUGAGGGAAAGCGGAGUUGGGAAGAGAGCUGGACAUAGUGUAGUCUAAUAAUAAUCUUUGAUACAACGGAUAUUCUUGUGAUUCAUCUGUUUGAAACAAGCUCAAUGUGCUUAGUUCCUAAUAUUAAUCCAUACACUUCUAAUCUUUAUAUAUAGAGAUUCAUACAAUGAUGCAUAGAUUAGAAGAUGAAUUUGCUCACCAAAUACAACAACAACAAGAACAAAAAAAAAGCCAGCUUCAUAAAACAUAAACUGGUUUUACGAGAAUUAAGGUGAAUUAUAAUUAUUAUCCAUCCCAAGUGUACUUGAACGUCUCCGGACCUAGAUUUUUGGACAAGUAAAUGCCAUCACCUUUGGCAAUAUAAAUGCGUUUCUCACCACAUCUAGUGAAAAAAACUCCUUUAUAAGCUCUAAAGUAUUUCGAAAACUUGCCAUGCGUCACGGUACAAGUCCAUUCUGUUUUACCAAACUUAGCUUCGUGGAAUCUUAUAACGAAUGGAGUACCUUUAAAAGGCAAAAAGUGGUCGCCUAGCUUGUUGUCUCUCGAUUGACAGUAACACCUUUAUCGAUUUGGUUUUCAAAUUGCACCAAGUUCUUUAGGCAACCAACCUUAUCAGCUUCGUUCAACGUAAAACAAGUACUAAUGGUUAACAGAAAUAUUAUGAGAUAAUUCAUCUCUUUUGGUUUUUAAAUCAAAGAUUAUAUGAAGCUAAUUAAGCGCAUCAUCAUCAUAUAAUAAUCUAGUGUUAUUUAUAGUCUAUUUUUUUUUGCGUUUUAAAUAUAAAAUAAAAAAUAUUACGGCCUUGCGAGAGUUUCGUAUCGAAAUAAAGGGUUGGCCAAUAAAAAAUAUUCAAACCAAAAAAAUUAAAACUGACCAGUAAACAACCUAGCUAAAUUAAAUAAAAAGCUUAAGGACUUGCCAGGAAAACCUGAAAGUGUAUUCCUGUAGACAAUCUUCAAAAUAUUUAUUAGAUUAACUUUUCUAUUAAAAUAGAUAGAAACUUUUUUAAAGAUAGAGACACAAUUUUAAACAGAUGUUGCAACCAUGGCAUGAAACCAAAUGCAAAUGUUAUUUGGCUGAUGUGCUUUCAAGUUAAUAACUGCCAAUUAUAAUAUGCUAAAAGGACAAGAUUGUGUGAUAUAAUAUAAAGUUUUAUACAUGAUACAUAGAUAUAUCAAAACAUGACAUAGCUCAUUCUGUGAUCCAAACAGACCUUCAUGGAAUUUGAUUGCGAAUGGAACACUUUUAAAAUCCACAAAAUUAUCGUCUCUUGAUUUGCAAUAGACUUUGAGCUUAUUAAUUUGUAUAUACCACGUUUUUAUUGCAAGCAUCAUUUAACCUAAAAUACAAAGUGAUAGUUAACAGAAAAACAAUGAGAUAUUUCAUUUCUUCGCGAUUUCAAAUUCAAAGUGUAGUCAUUUUAUAGUUUUUUUCGUUUGCAAAACUUAGAACAUAAAAACGUAUUUACUAACGAUAAACCUCUGGCGGGAGGAGAACGUAGUGUCGAAAAUAAGGCUGGUGUUAAAUGAAUUAAACUUUCAAAUUAAAACUGACCUCUAAAGCCAAGCUAAACUAAACCAAAAGUCUAAGGCCUUGCCAAAAAACAAAAAACUAAAAGUGUAUUAUUCUAAAAUAUUUAGACUACUAUUUCAUAAGAUAGCAAAAAACUUGGAAUAGACAGAAUUUAACAACAAAGCAAAUAAAGGAUUUACAUAUUUUUUUUUUAACAUCUUCAUGACAAGUAGUUUUUGGACUAUUUUGUAAUCAACAUAUUAAAAUUACGAGUCGAUUACGACCACUUUAUUUUUAGUUACACUUACACCCAUUGACUUGUUAUGAAGAAAAAACAAUUACGUAAGAAUUAAAAAAAAAACGGGACCAGACACCUUUCUUUUUUUUUUUCACAAAAGGAUAUUUAUUUAGUAAACCGAUCUUACAAACCGGGUGAACCGGAUAACCUAGUAAACCGGUACCCACAACUUUUCAGCGAGAAUAUGCAGACAGAAGCCGGCACAAUUUCCGGCGAAUGAACAACCGAAAACAUCUCCGGAUUAUCAAAACAAACAAACUAUUAAACCGAAAAAGAUAAAUGAUUCAAUUUAAUCUUCAAAUUCUUUUCUCUUCCCAUCACUGGAUCUUUUCCGAGAACAAAAGCAUGAAAGAAGUCGCCGGAAAACAAUCAACCACGAGGUGAAGCUUCUGAACUCUUGUCAUCACUUGAUAUAAAAAAUAGACUUCGGAAAUUGAUACCUUGACUUCCUAUAAUGGCAAGACGGACCUCAAAUGAGGCGAUUGAAGACGUCAAAAAAGCCGGGCCGUUAAAGUCGAACAGAAUCGACAAAGAUACGGUUGGAAGGAGCCAGGCAACCCAGAAUUCUCCCAGAUCUGGAUUUUGAUUCAUGUGGAUGAGACUAAAACAGUCGCCUAACCGAAACACCAAAACACUUACAUGAUUGAGGAUGGUGGUGGGAUGGAUCGAGAAUAGGCCAUGGAAAUUUCCAGUUAGAAAAAAGAAGAAGAAAUUUGAGAUCAAAGUGUUUCCCAAAUCAAUUCGGUGAAACAACAACAACGGCAACGGAAUAGCCGUGAGCAAAGCCGGAUACACCGGACGGCGAGAUGGGAUGGCGAGAUGGGACGACAAAACCGGACCACGUCCGGAUCCAUAAGCCGGCAAGGCAAGCCGGACGGCCAAAACCACCGAUCAAAAUCUCUCUCUCUAAAAGGUUUAGAGAGAUAAGAGAGAGAGAGUCAAUCGACCAGACACCUUUCCUAAUUUCCAAUAUGGAAUUUCCCUUUGAAUAUUUUACAUAGAUUUGCAUUCUGUACUCAUUUAUGUU